rnacentral:lncRNA from 1 species
CAUUUUAUUGCAAAUCAAACAAAAAUAACAAAGUCUAGUCUUGCAGGCCCAGGUAGUGACCCAGUCCACAUCAAAUAAGGAAAUACAUACACAAAAAUAGAAAAAUAAAGAGGAAAGCAAAUCGGCUGCUUUUCCUAAGUCAUCAAAGUAGUCCAAGGGGCUCAGAUGUGUGGAAGCUUAUGGAAAUGACCAUCGGAGAUGGCAACCAGAGCUGGACUAGGUUUGAACACCACUCGUCAUAGCUGAAUAUCUACCACAAACCAGCCAUACAUCCUUUUAUAAGUAUACUAGUUCGAUCUGAGCUAGCUUUCCCUUUUUCAUUACCUUCAUCUAGAUCUUUCACCACUCACAAUUUUGGUAGAUGCCAUUCUUCAGCCUCAAUGGUCUCACCAGGCACCGUGGAAUCAAAGCCAAGAAAAGAUUUUUCCAUUGUUGGGAUCGACAUCAUGUGAAGAUGAAUCCAUGGUUCUUCUAUUUCUCUUUACUAAUAAAUCGACUAUAUUCCUGAUUAUAUCAUACAUCUUCAUAUUCAUAAUCCUACAGUUUGAAUUUCAUAAUAAAUUAAUGGCGCUGUGUGAGUCAUCUCUAUUGAAUGUAUUUGAUAAUUAUUUACAUUUGAGGUUUUCUGGUGCUGACAUAACUCUUAUACUUGUACUGUCAACAAAUUGAUAGUGGUGAACUUUGUAGCUGUGACAUUUCUAGUCUGGUUCUCUAGUAAUGUAGAUGUUGAAUCUAAGAUUAGGAAGGCUUAUCUUUUUUGCGUUAAUAAUCCUUCUCACUCGUGUUGGCAACUUCCAGAAAUUAGUAAACUGGACUAUCCCUGCAAAAUCCAAAACAUAGUGAAAAAAUCUGCUAGUUGGUUCUCUUCCCUAGCUAUGUUUCGAACCUGACAUUCACCUUUAGUUCUCCCAUACUUGAUCUUCUCUACAUCUAUUACAAUAAUCCAAGGAGCCUUCCAUUCUUCAUCAAGGAUCUUAUUCAUUAUUAAGUUGUUUGUCUCUAUCAAUACUACAAUGAUAUUAUUAUUCACACUGUACUCAAUCCCUUGUAAAAUAGCUCUUGAUUCUGCAGAUAUACUUGUGGUAUCAAUAAUUACCUCUGCUCUUUCAUACACCAAAUCUCCAUCAUUUUUCCUGGUACUAAAAGCAAUAGAAUUAUCCCCUGGGUUGCCCCUUAAUGAACCAUCCUGUUAUAUUUGGACCAACCUACCUCUGGUGGUCUCCAUCUAAUCACUGUACAAGCCACAUUAUGUCUAUACCUUGCUAAAAAAUCAAUCAAGUCAGUCCAAGAGGUUGGAAUAUUUUUCAACCAUGCGUAAUUCCUCCUGGUUAUCUAAUAGAGGUUCAAAUUUAUUUCAUACAUUACUUUAUGCCUUUACAUCUCCUUCCCAUAAACAAUAGAGUUUCUCCACUUCCAAAUUUUCCAUAGAAUUAUAGCAGGGGCGACCUAAUAGAUAGUCUUAAGUUUAGGUGCACAUUAUUGACUCCACCACUUUGAAAUGGCCUGCUUAACUUGGACAGAAGGCCCUUGAAUGCCUACAACAUUAGAAAAGUGCUACCAGAUACUUCUACCAAAAUUACCUGAUAUAAAAAGAUGAUUGAUGGUUUCUUGUUAUGGCUGCAUAUAACAUAUGCAUCUAAAAACCAUGUCACUUCCAAAUUUUGUUACCACAUCAUCCACUGGAAUUUUCUGCAUCCAAACGCUCCAUAAGAAAAAAAAUAUCUUGAAAGGUAAUCCGUGAUCCAACUUUUUGAUAAGCAUUCAUUAUUUAGCUAUUUGUCUUAAAAUUCCCAAUGCACUCUUUGUUGUGAACUUCCCAUUGCUAUUACCCAUCCACCAAGGUUUUUCUCGAAGCUCCAAUCUUUCAAAAAUCUUUAUCUUUGUGACUCCAUGUUGAACAAUCUCUUGUGGUAGAUUGUAGUUCAUUACCUGCAUAUUCCAGUUUCCAUCAUCCAUUAAAGUACUUAACUCAUCUAUCUUCUCAUUCAUUAUAAAAUAAACAAGUAAUAUGUCUAUGAGAGGGCCUAAUCAAGUCCAAUUAUCAAACCAAAUGUUAGAACAUCCAUUCUUGGGUUCCCAUAAUAUAUCCUAUUCUAUUUGAUCUCUGGCCUCCAAUAUUUUCUUCCAGAUCUGAGAACCUUCCCUCUAUUAUACUACUGAUAGAAUUUGUUUUUGCAGUAUAUCUUCCACAUAGAAUUGGUCAACAAUGAUCUUGUGGUCCCAAAGGCCCGCCAUAAUUCGGCAAAGAGAACUUUGGAAACAUCUAAAGAUAAUUCCUCCUUCAUUCUUUGAAGAAUAUUUGAAAUAAGAACAGCCUUUCCACCAAAUGUCAACAAUUUCCCUUUCCAGUUUUAGAGUCUAUCCUUCACCUUCUUGAUUAGAUCAUUAUAAUACACAUUUUUCUUCCUUGAAUGAAAUAUUAGACAACCUAGGUAUUUAAAAGAAAAAAAUUUCCUUUCAAACCCUAUGAUUUAUUCAACUUCAUGGACUAAACCUUUUGUUGUUUUGCCAAUCAUAUACAAGUUGUUUUUCUCCUUAUUGACCAUUUGGCCUAACACCAAUUCAUACUCUUGUAGAACUUUCAUAAUCAUCUCCAAGUAUCCUCUUUCCGCAGAUGCAAAAGUGAUAGUGUCAGUUGUAUAUGCAAGUGGUUUGUGUUGGCACUCCAUUUAGGCAUACCAUAUCUAGUGUAUCUCCAAUCAUCAAAUAAAGCAUUUAGUGCUCUGGACAGUGUCUUUUCAGCAAAAAUGAAUAAAAUAGGGGAUAAAUGUUCUCCCUACUUAACACCUUUAGUGGAAUAAAAGAAUCUUGGAAUGAAAGAAUCCAUGAAAUUAGCCAUCAAUUAGUAUAGAAUACCAAUUAUUAGCAAUCACCCUCCAGAUUAAGUGAAUAAAAACCUGUGAAAAUCUCAACUUCCUUAAUACUUUAGUUAAAUACAAUCAAGACACCCUGUCGCAUGCCUUGCUCAUAUCUUAUUUUAGUAUUAAAUUUGUUGAUUUUCCCCUCUUCCUAAUGUUAGUUAUAAUUUCUUGGGUCAAGAGCACAUUCUUAAUGAUUCACCUUCCCUUGACAUAUCCUGAUUGAUUUGAUAAAAUUAAUGAGGGAAGUAGAAAGUUCAAUCUUCUUUGUACCACUUUGGAGAUAACUUUAUUAAUAAAGUUACACAGACUAAUAGGUAUGCGAUCAACAAAAGUUUGAACAACAUUCUUCUUUGGAAUAAGAACCAGAUUUGUAUAAGUAAAGGACUUAGGCAAUGAGCCACUUGGAAAGUAAGCCUUUACUACACUAAGGACAUCUUCUUUCAUAAUUUCCUAACAAAAUUGAUAAAAUUUCCCAUUCAAGCCAUCUGGUCCACCUAGACAAUUCCUUUCCAUUGAAGAAACAAUUGUUUUGACAACCUCCAUUAUUGGUGUUGAACACAACAAUAUAUUUUCCUACUCAGCCAUAAUAAGGGGAAUUCUAUUAAGGAUUUCAAAAUUGGUACCUUCAACUUCUUUAGUAAAUUACUUCUCAAACACCUUAAUGUCUUUCUCUUUAAUUUGCUCCAUAUCUUCAAGACAAAUCCCAUCAGAAUUUUGAAUCCUUCUAACUUGCAGUCUUUUUCUUCUACCGUUGACCAAAUUAUGGUAAUAGAAAGUGUUUUUGUUCCCAUCAAUGACACAACCCAUACUAGGGCCUUGUUGUAAUGGGCAUCUCAAGUCCAACUAGGAUCGAAGACCACCCCCGAUACCCAAUCCAACCAACAAACAUAUACCCUGAGUCAGAUGAAUUUCGAACAUAUAACAAGAUAACGCAUUUAACAAUGUAAUGACUUUGGGAAAUGUCUAUAUCUGAGACCAACCCAACCAAAUCAAUCCAUUGAAUAACCGACCAAAAUUACCAAAACCCAAUGUAUAAAUAUAAAUAUAUCACGAUCAUUCCAUACCCAAGUCCACAGUUAUCCAUACAAAGCCUCUAAACCAAACCAAAAAGUAUCUAGUCGGGACAUGCCCCCGGCCAUAGCCAAAAACCAAAAUCUAUGAAAAGAUAAAAGUAUGUAAAGUAAUCCAUGACAUGAAAUGGAAUCCUUCCGAACUAUGGAAGCUCACCACUUUAAUCCAAAAUCGAAUGUCCUCGAAUUCGAUCAAUAAGCAAGAUGAGUAGUAUGGUCGGUUCCUGCAUCGCAUGGGGUUAUAGCGCUUGAAGAUGGGUUAGUGGGUGAAUGCUAGCAUGGAUUUAAUUUUUUUUUUAUGCAAAAAAUUUUAGUUGCUACAAAGAUAUGACCUAUAUAUCAUAUCUUGACUGGUUCUUUAGGGUCUUAAAGUCAAGCUCCCUUCUGCCUUUGCACUCAAGAUAAAGAUCAAAUAAAGCCAACCUUUAAAACCAAGUAAACCAACAAUAUGCUUUCAUAACCAUACAUACACACAUAUAUAAGUGCCUUCUGUAUCACCGGUCUUGGCAAGAAUACCUGAUUAUAUCUCUAUAAUAAGCUGCGACUAAGCGAAUCUCUCGUCUGGAACCCCCGAACUCCCAGCUUGACGGCUUGACUGCAUUACCUUCCUUCGUCACCUUCUUAACUGCUGACAGCAUCAUCCCGGAUUUUGUUUGUCUCAUGCAAAACGAAUCUCAGUCCUCUCAUUUUCUAACCGCAUUCAUAUUAUGGAAAGCAGCCAAGCGGGUCGCGGGGGAAGGGCCGUCAGCCCUGCCCUACUUGACCUAUCCUGUCUGGUGAGGUGGAUAGAAAGGACUACUAGUUGCUCGAUCAGGACCCUAUCUUUAUUGUGAGCCAAAAACCUAAUGUAUACGCCCCCUUUCUUUAUUGUUGGAGAUUCUAUCCAAUUAUCAGCCCCGAUGCGGAAAGGAGUAAAGAAAGAAAAGUUGAAGACGGCUUAACAGUAAGAGAGAACCCCGCCAACUUUGGUUGGUUAAUCCGAUCAGUUCAUCUGAUGAUAUUGUUUCAUAGAAUUGGUUGUUCUUUCUCUCCUUUCUUCUAGAGGAAUUGAGUCGUUCAUUUCGGUCUAACUUCGUUACUGUACCCCGGUCUCACUCUGACAGCGUACUAUCCUAGACCUCUGUCUAUCUCGACAUUGAUAGAAAUUCAUAGUUAGGUUAGCCAGCCCAUUAACCCAGACAAGUGGGAGGCGCGAUGUAGCAGGGUCAACUCUAUUAAAACGGAUCAACAAAGGCGAGAUCAGCUCACUUGCCCACCGACCCCCGUCUCUUAUGCGAUGACACUCAGUCCUUAAACUAGAUCAGAAUAGGAGACAGAGAGGUAGGUAUUCAGGCUUGUAGCAAGUUUUUACAGGACGUAGCUAAACCUUCCGAGGCAGGAUUUACCGCGCGGGUUUAUUACAUUUCCAUGAAGGGAAAGGGAACCGAGUUUAACAUGCCUUUAAAACCAUUAACCUACCUGAUACGUGUAGCUGCACUAAUCGGAGAUACCAUAGUAGUAGGGGAUUCUCGUGUACCCUUUGCUCUCUAUGAUAUAUACAUACAAGUGUUAGGGGAUUCUUGUGUACCCCUCAAGUAUAUGGUCGCCAUGACCAAUCCUUAUGUCGGCAAACAGUAGUUUUCAGUGUCCCUCCAUUAGAAUCACACCUUAAUGGUUAGCUAUCACACCACGCCAUUAUUGCCCAAUUAAAACUAUUACCAUACAACCAAACCACCAACUCCGUUUAUUAUCAACCAAGGCUACGAGUAGUAGUAUCAUCAUAUCGACUAUAGCUUGCAAGAAAUGGCCUUAGCCAACCUUAGGGGAUUCCUAUGUACCCCAUAGGUUACAUUAUUAAGUUUACUUGGGGCAUUCUCAUGUACCCCAAAAGUAUUUAAUUAUUAAGUUUUGCUUGGGGGAAUCCCAUGUACCCCACAAGAUGUUCAUCAUUUAGAAUACUUUCAUUAUUACAUUCUCUUGGGGGAUUCCCAUGUACCCCGCAAGGUUUUCAUUCAAAUCAAUUUCAGAGCCACCAAGACCUUACUAUUUAACCAUUCAAAACCAUUUAAACAACUGCAAACCAACUUAGGUUCCAUUAAUAUAUUAAACCAUGCAAAGCUUCAAUGAAAGUUCAACGAUAUAACCAAAAACAUUCUCGUAGGAAUUUUAUCAAACAUGUUGAGGGCAAACCUUUAUCAAGACUAAAACCAAAGCAUAAACCAUCAAGUUUAGGGUUACCCAUGACUCGUUUCUUAAACCACAACCAACAAGCACCCAUAUAUGCAAACCACUACCAAGAACAUGUGAAGAUAUAAUUUAAACCAAGAGUAAACAAUACUCAACAAUGUGCAUCCAAAACCCACAACAUUGAUUUUUAAAACCACCAUUUAUGAUUCAUAAUCAAUUUUUAGAACACAUUAAAGCAUUCCUUUAGUUGGAACUAAUAAUUAGGGAGGUGUACAUGCCUUAUACAUGAUGAUUCACGGAAGAAAACUUGACUCUUGAGCCUUUUAAAGAACACUUGUAGAAACCCUAACCUCAAUCUUCAAGUGAGUGCUUAGAGAGAGUAUUUUGAUCCAUGCAAAGUGAGCUAUGAAAGGCCAUCAAUGGUUAUAUAACGUGGGGACAUAAGGGUUUUGGGGGUGGGAAAAUGUCUGGGGUACCCUCAGCUCAAAAUUUAAAAAUAUGCACGCUGGAGGGUACGACCACGCCCCUUAACCGUACCUUAGGAUAUAAGUGGUACCCUAACUCGUACCCUAAACUUUACCAUGGACCUCAAAACUGAUCAUCAUACGACAACACAUGCCAAACUCAUACCCUAAGGUACGAUAAGUACCCCUAAAUCGUACCUUGGACAAAUUCAACUAGGCUAAUCAAUAAGCAUCAUAUGACUUGGCAUCAUACACCUCGUAUCCUGCCAUAAUACUAUUAUGAUGAUUAGUUGUAUCUUGGGCAGAAACCAACCCCAAACACACUUCCUAAUAUACGAAAGAGAGGGCCAUAGUCGUACACUAGCAUACGACUUGUACCUUCAAGUUAUACCUUGUCCAGAGUAGUCGACUUAGGAAAUUUUUCUAAAGGUCUAAGUUUGGGGUGUUUCAUUCUCCCCCACUUAGGAUCAUUCAUCCUUGAAUGACGGGUAAGGGCAAGCACAAGCACGAGUUAACAAUUUAAUACCCAUCAAACUUCCCUUCAACCUAACUAGAAGACAUGGACAUAAAUCAAGAUGGGAAGAUCAUCACAAACUCCAAGCAUGAUUUACACCCCAACACCUUCAUCCCGACCCCUAACUAAGUUAGAAAACAAAGACACAAGGAAAUCCACCCUUCCUUAACCAAGUUAGAAAACAAAGAUGUGAUAAAGGAUGUAUACCUUAUGUACGAGUUUUCGAAAUGAAGAACCAACAUGAGUACUUAGUCUCUAUGUCCACUUUCACAUCCUAGUUGGCUUUCUUUGACUUUUGGUUCCACCAUAGAACCUUUACCGAAGCCAUACCUUUUUGUUUGUAACUGGUGAACUUACCAACCCAAGAUCCUCACCGAGACCUCCUUAGGACCAAGAGUGUGAGAUACCAAUACCAUCCAAAGAUAAUAACCGAAGAAGGACCACUGACACCUUACCUCAACACAAACACAUGGAAUAUCAGAUGGAUGGAACUCAUGCUAGAGAGUAAGUCCAAUUCAACUUACAAUUUCCCAGAGAUAGAUCAUUGUGAGAGCUUGAGUCUAGCUAUAAACCACUUCAUGUUCAAGCCUAUCCAAAGAAAAAAGGAGUUAACUUAGGCCACCAGACUAUAUUCCUUACAUCCACCUAAAACAGUAUUCUGCUUCCACCAAGAAUUUGAGUUCCCAACACAACAAUUGGUAUAUCUAUCAACCACAACAUUCAAGCCUACCUCUUCUAUUCUAGCGGUACUGCCUAUCCUUCUAAGGAUUUAGAAACCUGUAUCAUUUUUGCAAAGAUUUUUCACCACCUACUCCUCUCCUAGCCAUUCCUCAUGACAACAACCUUAACUUACCCUCCAAAACCUUAGCUCUAGUAGUCACCCCAGAAUCUUCCCCACUUAGGUACUUUUACCUCUCCUCUAUUUCAAAACAUCACUAUACCUCUACAACCAUUACCAUCCAGGGUCAUUAAGAAAUUAAAGUACAAAAAUCACUCAUGCUACUCAUGGAGAGACCUCUGAAAAGAGACACGGUACCAUAGGCACAAGGUACUUCAUAGCAACUACCUAGAACAUGAAUGAAGAACCAUCCCAACACAACACACCAUAGAAGGAGUCCUUAGGAUUGGACACCAAAAGACACACAACCACAUAUAUCAUAAGUAAUUCAAUGUAAGGUCAAGAUUCAAAUCCAGGGAAUAAGGCAAAUUCAAAAUGUUAACGUUAGGAAUAAGCGCUACCAGAAUUCAUGCAACACUGGGAGAGUGCCCUCGUAAUGAAGAAAAGUGAGAAUUGCUAGAAUAUGCACCCUAACCUUCCCUUACUAUGACUAUAAGCAUAAUACUCCACUCUAGAGGGUAUCACCAAGUACCUACACUAGGGACACUUGGUUCCCCUAUUCUUAAAACCUCAUCCACCUAAAUGCCACCUAGAGUCCAGCAUAGUUAUACAAACUCAAUGUUCUAACCCAUCCAAUGACUUAACCCUUAACCCAUCAGUUCAACCUGAGCCCUCGGCCUAUAUGUCAUAACCUUCCUACUUCUGCAUUUCCCAAGUCAUCAACCUCGCCCUUUUUCGCAUACCUCAUCCAUCCUACCAAUCUACCUCAAUAAUUCUCGCAUUGUUAUCCCUAAGAUAGCAUACUAAUUUUACUACAAAUAAUGCCAAAAUUUCAAACCCAACGUCUACCAACCAUUAUGCACUACCAAUAAGGUACCUCAUAUAGAAAUAUGCAUAUAUGGUCCACCCCACAAGGAGGACACCUCAAAUUCCUCAUUCACCAACCAAUAACCUAUACCUUCCCAUGGGAAACCAUCCCUCUUAUGCAUGAAAGAAAGUAAAUACUUCAUGGAGAAUCACUAGGAUGGGUGAAACAUUUAUCUAAGGGGUUCUUUAAUUGCUUAUUAAGUUCUUCUAACUCAAUUGAAACCUUUCUAUAAUAAAGAAUAGAAAUUGGACAAGCUUCCCAAACAAGACCAAUACUAAACUCAAUCUCCCUAUUAGAAAGACACCAUAAGGGUCUUCAAGAAGGACUUCAGAAAAACUCAUUCACCACUGAAACUGAAUGCAAAGAAAGAACUUCUGAGAUAGAAACUUUAACCCAAACCAAAUAAUAAUAGAGACACCUCUUUUGAAGAUUAAUCUCUAAGCUCGAAGAUAUAUAAAACCUUCCCCCUUAAUAGCUCGAGAAUCAUCCUCCCAUCCAAUAACCGACUCACUAAGAAGCCUAAAGAUAACCUUAUGGGUUCGAAAGUCUAAUAAUGUGUAACACAAGUGCAACUAAUCCAUCCCAGAAUAUCAUAGAAAUCCACCAUAUCUGAGUGAAACAGAUCCACCAGAGUCUCCUUUACUACCAACAAACACCAUACACCCCCCUAUAGACCCCUUUGGCAAUCAUAAAGUCACAUACCAGGGUAGAAAUAAAAAGGGUCCUAAAUAACCUUGGGAGUAAACCUAAUUGCAUAGCCAUAAGUAGAAUCAACAUAAGAGAGAGGGGACUCUAGACCAACUAAAUAAUUCACAACACGAGAAAAGAGUUGCAACAUACCAGUGUUAACAUCAAAAAAUGCAUCAGACUCCUAAGGGAUAGCGAGGUCAUUAAGAUAAUCCUGACCAAUCCCAUAGCCAGAAGUAGCAUCCCUCGGUGCAACAGCUAGAGAGGUGGUAACCGAUGUCCUAUUUACCUAAGAGACAAUCCUUAUGAGACACUCCCGUUGCAUAUGACCCAACUAACCAUAAUUAAAACAAUGAUUCCUCUCUUCUUUGCAACAACCAUGGUGCGACUGACCAUAAAACCGACAAGGAGGAUAGGAUGAUACAGAAUGGGACCUACAAGUUUAAGAUUAGGUACCUUAUGACCUUAAAGCAUUACACAUCUAAAGAUAUCUAUCUCCUAAUGACUUUGGGUAGGGAGCACUAGCCAUAGAACAGGAGUUAGAACCCAUCCAACUCUUUCUCUUGGACCACUUACCACAAUACUAUUGUCCAUCUCUUUAUUCAGAAAAUCGAGGCCACUUACUCUACCUAUUGCCCAACCUUGCCUUAUUCUCCCCUAUACCAAUAGGAUCAGACUGGCAUGACAGAGUUAUACUAUCUGGUUCAAUAGAAUAUAGAAUGUCAAAACUCGGCAUUAGUUGAGGUAAUUGUUCAUGAGUACCACCUUUUGGAGUAGGGUUAGUGAAGGCCAGUGGAACUCCAAAAGAAUAUCCAAAAUUGUGACCCUUGAUUGGGUCUGUGGCCCAUGAGUUGGAUGAGAUCUAUCUAUGUCGUCCUCAAGUAGUAUAGGUGAGUUCCCACAAUCUUUAGAUCGUUGAGAGGACAUGAUCUGAAAGGUGAACCAAAUAAAGAUUUUAGGAAAAGUUCAAGAUCAUAGACUCUAUAGCCUGAAAGUAGAACAACAAGAAAGUGAAACAUUCCUAUAUGCCUCGUAGCCUCCUGAUUAUAAGUGUGGUGCAUGACACACCCAUAAUCAAGACUCUACAUGACACGGCUUUAUCGAUACCCCAUGACACCAAAACCUGGCCUCUGAUACAUACUUGACACGACCCGAAUCGAGGCCUUGUUGUAAUGGGAAUCUCAAGUCCAACCGGUACUGGAGACUACCCCUGAUACAUAAUCCAACCAACCAACAUAUACCCUGAGUUGGAUGAAUUCUAAACAUAUAAUAAGUUAACGCAUUUAAUGAUGUAAUGACUUGGGGAUAAGUCUAUAUUCGAGACCAACCCAACCAAGUUAAUCCAUCGAAUAACCGACCAACCAAACCAAAACUAAGAACCCAAUGUAUAUAUAAAUAAAUUGCGAUCAUUCCAUACCCAAGUCUACAGUUUCCAUACAAAUCCUCUAAAAAAAACCAAAGAGUAUCUAGUUGGGACAUGCCCCCAACCAUAGCUAAAAAAAAUCUAUGAAAAGACAAAAGUAUGUAUAGUAAUCCAUGACAUGAAAUGGAUGCCUUCCAAACUAUAGAAGCUUACCACUUCAAUCCAAUACCAACUGUCCUCAAAUUUGAUCAAUGAAUAGUAGUAGUAUGGUUGGUUCUUGAAUUGCGUGGGGAUUAGCACCCGAAGAUGGGUUAGCGGGUGAACGCUAGUAUGGAUUUUGUUUUUUGUUUAUGCAAAAGAUUUCAGUUGCUAUAAAGAUAUGAUCUAUAUAUCAUAUCUUGACUGGUUCUUUAGGGUCAUGCAGUCAAGCUCUCUUCUGUCUUUGCACUCAGCAUAAGGAUAAAAUAAUGUCAACCUUUAAAACCAAGUAAACCAACUAUAUGUAUUCACAACCAUAUAUAUAUAUAUAUAUGUAUAUAUAUAUAACCAUGCUGGAAAAGGGAACCAGGAUUAUCAUGCCUUUAAAACCAUUAACUUGGGUAUGUGUAGCUUAACUGACAUAAUUCAUCCAUAGGUUAUAUGGGUCCAGUGUUUCCCCAUGGACAGAACCCGAUGCGUGUAUCCACACUAACCAAAGAUACCAUAGGAAAAGGGAUUUAUCGUGUACCCUUCGCUCUCUAUAUAUGUAUAUACAAGUGUUAGGGGAUUCCCAUGUACCCUUCAAGUAUAUGGCCACCAUGACCAAUCCUCAUGUCGGCAAAAAUAAGUUUUCAGUGUCCCUCCAUUAGACUCACACCUUCAUAGUUAGCUAUCCCACCCCGCCAUUAUUGCCUAAUUAAAACCAUUACGAUACAACCAAACCACCAACUCCAUUUAUUAACAACCAAGGCUACGAGUAGUGGUAUCAUCAUACCGAUUAUAUCUUAAAAGCAAUGUCCUUAGCCAACUUUAGGGGAUUCCCAUGUACCCCAUAGGUUACAUUAUUAAGUUUAUUUGGGGGAUUCCCAUGUACCCCACAAGUACAUGAUUAUUAGGCUUACUUAGGGGAUUCUCAUGUACCCCACAAGUAUUUCAUUAUUAAGUUUUUUCUUGGGGGAUUACCAUGUACCCCACAAGAUGUUCAUUAUUUUGAUUACUUUCAUUUUUACAUUCUAUUGGGGGAUUCCCAUGUACUCUGCAAAGUUUUUAUUUAAAUCAACUUCAUAGCCAUAAAGGCCUUACUAUUUAACCAUUUCAAACCAUUCAAAACCAUUUAAACCAACUUAUGUUCCUUUACUAUAGUAAACCAUGCAAAGAUUCAAUGAAAGUUCAACAAUAUAACCAAAAACAUUCUCAUAGGCAUUUUAUCAAACAUGUUGAAGGCAUACCUUUAUCAAGACCAAAACCAAAGCAUAAACCAUCAAGUUUAGGGUUACCCAUGACCUAUUUGUUAAACCACAACCAACAAUCAUCCAUAUAUGAAAACCACCACCAAAAAUAUAUGAAAACAUAAUUUAAACCAAGAGUAAACAAUACUCAACAAUAUGCUUCCAAAAUCGUCAACAUUGGUUUUCAAAACCACCAUUUAUGAUUCACAAUCAAUGUUUAAAACACAUUAAAGCAUGCUUUUAGUUGGAACUAACAAUGAGGAAGGAGUACAUUCCUUAUACAAGAAGAUUCACGAAUGGAAACUUGACUCUUGAGCCAUUUGAAGAGCACUUGUAAAAACCCUAGCCUCUAUCUUCAAGAGAGUGUUUAGAGAGAGUAUUUUGAGUGUUUUGAUCCAUCCAAAGUGAGUUAUGAGAGGCCACCAAGGGUUAUAUAACGUUGGGACAUAAGGGUUUUAGGGUGGGAAAAUGUCCAGAAUACCCCCAGCUCAUAAGUUAAAAAUAUGCACGUAGGAGGGUAUGAUCACCCCCCUUAGAUAUACCCUAGGGUACGCAUAGUACCCUAAAUCUUACCUUGGAACUCACCAUGGACCUCCAAACUGAUCAUCAUACGAAAAAACAUGCCAAACUCGUACCCUAAGUUACAAGAAGUACCCCUAACCUGUACCUUAGAAAGAUUCAACUAGGCUAAUCAUUAAGCAUCAUACGACUUGGAAUCAUACACAUCAUAUCCUGCCAUACGACUAGUAUGAUGCUUAGUCAUAUAUUGUACAGAUUCUAACCCCAAACAAACUUCCUAAUAUAUGAGAGAGAGGGCCAUAGUUGUACCCUAGCAUAGGAAUUAUACCUCUAAGUCAUACCGUGUCUAGAGUACUCAACUUAGGAAAUUUUUCUAAGGUUCCAAGUUUGGGAUGUUUCAAUCAAUCUUUUAGGUUACUCUAGAUUUUUAUUUCUAGAAUUCUUCUUCCAUAUGCAAAUGUUUCUUCAAUUCUGCCUGAGCCAUCUGCAACAUUAUUCAAUUUUGAGGUGUACAAUCUUCUUCAAGCAAUUAUUUCUUAACUCUCAUAAUAUUUUCCCUAAGUAUCAACUGCUUAAAGAUGUUCCCAUAAGUAUCUCUAUUCCAUUUGGUUAAGGCUUUCUUAAUGUUCUUUAUUUUCUGCUUGAACAUUAAAAAAUGAUGCCCUUAGAUAAUCAGCUUUCCAUUAUUGCUCUACAAUCUUUAAAAAAUCUGAAUGUUUAGUCGAGAAACUGAGGAAUAUUAAGGGCUUCCUAAUCAAUUGAGACUAAUUCCCAAUGUAAGAAAGAGAGAGGCAUGAUCUGAUCCUAUCCUUGCUAAGUAUUCUGAUUCAAUAUGCUCAAAAAUAUCAUAUAGCUCCUAAUUUAUUGCAAUUUUAUCUAUUUUUCAAAAAUACAGUCAGCAUCACACCUACCAUUCCACCAAGUGAAUAGACUAUCUUUAAAGUCCACCUCUAAUAGACCUGAAGAGUUAAUACAAUAAGCAAAAUCUUCAACAUGUUAGGGUAAAACUAGUAAGCCACCAAUUUUUUCCUCAUUAUUUAGCACCACACUAAAAUCACCACCCACUAGCCAAGGCAUAGCAUAGCUAUUAUAUAGUUGGUAAAUAAUAUCCCAUAAAGGAAGCCUUUCUACUUCAGUGCAUUAUGCAUAGACAAUGGUGGCUAGUAACUUCAAAAUCAAUCUAUUAACACUUAGCUUUAUUAUCAAUUAUUGGUUAGUAUUAAGAACUAUCACCACAUCUAUGUCUUCUUUUACAAAAAGCCAAAUCUUUCCAAACUCAUUAGUACCAGCAAAUUGCAUUUCUAGCCUUCUUUUGUAAUGAUGCAUGUUAUUUGUCUGUUGGAAAGGUACCAACAGGACAAUCAUGAAAAAUUGAUGAUGGUUAUGUAAUAUUUGUAUCCUAUCAAAGGUUUUCUGAGUCCUAACUGAUCUAAUAUUCCAAAUUAUAACUUUCAACAUCAUUUAAAGCUAGAUAAGUUAAACUGAUCUCUGUUGACACCUAAUUUUUGUCCUCCACAACUAAGUUUAAUUUCAAGUUUCUUCGAUUUUAAAUAAAAUUAUAAUAUUUAUUUUCUCUGAAUAAAAGCUUUUCAGAGUAUUUAUUUGGAUAAUUUUGCAAUGUUAAGUAGCAAUUAUAGAUUAUCAAAUUCAAUUAUAUGAAAUUAUAAAGUAUUUAUUUGGAUAAUUUUGCAAUUUUAAGUAGCAAUUAUAGAUUAUCAAAUUCAAUUAUAUGAAAUUAUAUAAUUUUAUUACUUAAAUAUUUAUUUUAUGAAAUAUCAAUUUUUAAUCAAGGCUUAUCUUGAUAAUAAAUUCAAAUGGUUUGAAUGUAAUUUGUUCUUGAAAAUAAUUUAUUUGGAAAUAUAUUUAUUUGACUUUUAUUAAAUCAAGAAGCUUGAGAUUAAAUAAGGUAUUAAUUCAUAUUGAAUUUAGUUAAUUCAUUAAAUUUGGCCAUAAUUGAAAUCAAAUCGGCCGCAAUUACAAUACAAUUGGCCAAUUGAUUUUGAAUUUGGUCGGAAACUAAAAUAAAAUUGACCAACUCCUAAACUAAUUGGGGUUAUUUUUUAAAUAACUCCAAAAAUACAUAAUCUACCCAAAUAACAACAGCCCAUCAAAACCAACAGAUUAACCCAAACUUAAAAUUCAAAUUUGAAUUUCAAAAUUUAUACUAGAUUAGACAAUUCCACAUCAACCUUGUCCUUUCUCCAUUUUGAAAUUCAAAAUUUGUACUAGAUUGUACAAUUCCCCCUCAACCUAGUCUUUUUUCCAUUUUUGAAAUUCAAAAUUUGUACUAAACUGUACAAUUCCCCCACCAACCUUGUCCUUUUCUGUUUUUGAAAUUCAAAAUUUAUACUAGAAUGUACAAUUCCACCUCACUUUAGCCUCAAUUUCAAAUUCGAAAAAAUACCUCUAAGUUCUUUCUCCCACAUUGGUGGAUUCAAAGAAUUCAAUCCCCAUCUUUUCCUAUAAAUAAUACCACCAUUUUGGUAGAAAGAAAGUCUCAAAGAUUGGAAAAACUUUUGAUCAAAGAGUUAAUUUUUUUCUUUUAGUAAAAAUUUUCAAGCGGUAGUCUAAUCGGGGUUCUCAAAAGAUUGCUCUCCGGUGGUGAUCAAGACUCUGAAGAAAGCUUAAAAUCCUAUUUUGCUGCUCCAAAAAAGGUAAACACACCUUUCCUUUUUAGUUUUGUUAUUGUUUUCUUCUUUAUCACUUUCUUGGUAGUUUUUGUAGUUGUAAUUUUGUUUGCUGGGAUAAUUUGUUAUAGACGGACUUGAAGACGAUAAGAUGUUGGGAUAUCAAUAUGGCUAUUUUUAUGUUCAUAAAAUGAGCUAACAAUAGUUGAACGCAUUUCUUUGGCUUUAUUCUUUGAUUAUUAUGAUUAGAUAUCUAAAGUUUAGACAUCUGCUUGAUUAAACUACGUACUCAUGCUUUCUUUAAAUUUUUUAUUGAUGAAUAUGUUUGAUUUUAGCAUUUAAAGUUGUUUCCUUUAUGUCAAAAAAGAAUAUUCACUAUUGUUUGCUAUGCCUUAAUAAAUUAGAUGGAUAAAGUUUCUAUCUUUACUUGAUUAAAAUACGUACUCGUGCCUUGUUUAAAUUUUUUAUUGGUGGAUAUGUU